AAAUAAGUAAAUCUUUAAAAAAAAAAAAAAAAGAUGAAAAGCUGCCUGGCUAGAGUCUUUUUCCUGCUGCUUUUGUUUUUGUUUUGUUUUGUUUUUCAAGACAGGGUUUCACUGUGUAGCUCUGGCUGUCCUAGAACUCAUUAUGUAGACCAGACUGGUGCCUCGAACUCAGAGAUCUGCCCACUGCCUCUGCCUCAGCCUCCUGAGUGCUGUUAGAAAUGUGUACCACCACUGCCCAACUCCUUUUGCUUCUUUUUAAGCAUGUUUGAUAAGGAAAUUAUCAGUCUACUUUUGUUAUGACUCUGGGGUUUUACCUACUUCUGACUUGGGAUCUGUGAGAAUCAGUGACAUUAUAGUCUCAGACAGUUACUUAUAUAAUCACAUUCUGCAUGAUUUGUUGUUUAUACAACAUUAAACAUGUGAGGCUAGAGCCGGGUGGUGGGGUGGAACACGCCUUUAAUCCCAGCAGUUGGGAGGCAGAGGCAGGCAGGCAGAUCUCUGAGUUUGAGGCCAGCCUGGUCUACAGAGUGAUUUCUAAGACAGCAAAGCAAACAAAACCCAAAAAAACUAGGAGGUAGGCCUGGUGUCUCAUGCUUUUAAUCCCAGAACUCAGGAGGCAGAGCCAGGCAGAUCUCUGUGGGUUUGAGGCCAGUCUGGUACUAGGAUAGUCAUAGCUACAUUGACCCUAUUUCCAAAAAUAAAAUUAAAAUGUGAGGCUAGGGUUGGAAGUAUAGCAGCUUGGUGCAGGGCGUGGUGGCUUGCGCCUUUAAUCCCAGCACUUGGGAGGCAGAGGCAGGCAGAUUUCUGAGUUCGAGGCCAGCCUGGUCUACAGAGUGAGAUCCAGGACAGCCAGGGCUACACAGAGAAAAGAGUUCAAGGUCAGCCUAGGAUUCCUGAGACUGAAGCUCAAAGGAAAAAAAAUUUCACCGUAUUUCAUGUUUUGUUUGUAUUUUGAGACGGUCAGACUCUUAGCCUGGGUUGACCUGGAACUACCAGUGAUCCUCUUGCCUUUGUCUCUCCAGGGCUAGAAUUACCAGUGCACACCACUAUGUCCGGCUUGGCGUGUUUCUGCUUUUGAUUGUGUGUCACUCUUCCCCUUAAAAUAGCUUUCUUUCAGAAGAUCUGUUAAGUGAAGUUUGCACAUAGAGUGCAUGGG
rnacentral:lncRNA from 1 species